rnacentral:rRNA from 1 species
GACGUAGGAGGCGAGCGUUAUCCGGAUUCACUGGGCGUAAAGCGCAUGUAGGCGGUUCGUCAAGUCGUGUGUUAAAGCCCCUGGCUCAACUGGGGGAGGUCAUGCGAGACUGACAGACUUGAGGGCAGUAGAGGCACGUGGAACUCCCGGUGUAGCGGUGGAAUGCGUAGAGAUCGGGAGGAACAUCAGUUGCGAAGGCGGCUCUCUGGACCAGCACUGACACUGAGGCACGAAAGCGUGGGGAGCAAACAGG